UCGUGUGCGCCGUAAAAGACGGUCAUUUACGGCAUGUUUUUUUGUGCGCCGUAAAAGACGUCCAUUUUUUGUCUUUUACGGCGUGCUUUUCAUGUGCGCCGUAAAUGACAUAUUACAUUUACGACAUACUUUUUUUGUGCGCUGUAAAAGACUAAUUUUUUAUCUUUUACGGCGUGCUUUUCACGUGUGCCGUAAAUGAUGUGUUUCUUAACAAUCCCGCUCAGCCAUUUUUAGCUAAAUUCUAAUUUCCCACCAAACCUUUUUACUCUGACAUUUUUUUUUAAAAGAUAAAAACUCAGGCCAAACCCGGAUCUCUUCAGACUCUCCAUCUCUCGUCUCGUUUCCUCUUCUUCUCUUCAUCCUCGCUCGAUGCCAUCCCAUCGAUCUAAAGGCCGAAGCCAAUAAUCCUGUCAUUAGGUGAGUGAAUAUGUCUCUCCCAAAUUCAGUUGGGGUCUCUCUCUCUCUUCUUUGCUAUGCGCGGCCCUUCGAGGCUUCCAACGCCAGACGUGUAUGCAUCAAUUGCUUCUCUCUCCGUCCUCUCUCAGGGGUUGAAGUAGUUUUUGCAAUAGAGAAAGCUGCGGUGGAGAUAUGACUUCUGUUCGCUGACGGUGCUCUCGGGCCGUCUAUCAAACUCAACUCGGGGCUGGAUUAUUACAUAGAUGUUGAUUAUCAAGUGGGUGAUGGCUUCUCUUUCAGUGGAGGUGUCUAUUCUCUUUUCCACUACCUCUUUUAUUUGCUAAAUGGCCUUUCCAAGUUUUUCAGUACUAGUAACUGAGGAAGUGGGUAAGUUUUUGACAGGAAAGUAUUCAUAUGGACCAAGCCCUUCUGAUGAAUGGUUCAAGCAGGGGAAGAUAGUCCGAUCUUGGACUUGCAAUGGGUGCUGAUUCUCAGGCAGCUGCUGAUGUUUUUAGGUAAAUUUGUACAUUUAGCUUUAGAGGACUAGCGGUUGGCAUGUUUGAAACAGUGUGGUUUAUACUUUUAUAGUAUAUGAGUCAUGCAGACAAUGAGUGUGGAAUUUGCAGGGUUUACCAAUUGUCUCACUCUACAAUAAUUUCACUUUUAAGAGAGUUAUUGAAGUUGUUAUUUUGGCUUUCCCCAUCUGCUAAUUUGUAGGUGGUCUUCUUUCUUAUAUUUAAGCAGGGGCCUACUGGUAUUCAGUCUGCCAAUUUGUAGGUUUCUUCCAGUUCAUUAAGAAAAAUGAUUUCAUUGUAGUUGUAUUAUUUACUCGAUCUUGUCAUUCAUAAAGAUUGUUUUAGUUUUUUACAUAAAGUUCUGUAUUCUAUUUUGUUGAAGUUAAUAAUUUCAUUGUGGAGACCCAAGUUUCAAAGAUAUAUUAUGAUUUCUUAUAUAUGAUAUUGUUUUUAUAUAUUACUAUUUUUAAUUAUGAUUACUUUCCUUUCAGUCGUAUAACUGAAGGAUAUUUUCUUUUAUUCCAACUUCCUUAAUAUAUUUGAAAUUGUAAGAAAAUUCUGCCCAAUCCAUUUUAUUUGCUCAUUCUAUCGUUUCACUCUAAGUCAGACCCUUUCUUUCUUUAGAAGUACUUGGUAGAUAAUCAAUUGGAAUGGAAAAAUUGGUUUAGCUUGAGAUGGCAUGGAUUUUGAUGGAGUUGGAAGAAUCAUAUGUCAUUUGCUGUUCUCUUUAUGCAACAGCUCCUACUCUUCUUAUUUUCACUCUCUGCGCGCAACUCCUCCUCGGUAUUUGCCAAUUCCUAUCAUUUCAGUCCAUCACCAUCUCUCCUCUUAUCCACUACUCAAGGAUUUAUCUUGAUCAGACGAUUUAACUUCUUUCUUAAUCUCUUCCUUUCCCAAAGUCUCUCUCUACUUGUUCAUAUCCUUCUCUCAAACUCUUCCCAUCCAAAGGUAUAGUUUCUCCUCUGCUCUGUUUAUUGAAUUGAUUAUGUCUUUCAAUUUGAGUCUGAGUUCUUUGAUUUACUUUUAUGAAUUUCCAGCUCUCAUUGUUAUCUGUUUACAAAGAAUUUGAUGCUUAGUCUUUGCUUCUUAGUUCUUUCUGGUUCUUAAACGGAGCCCUUGCAUUCUUAUAAAAGUUCCAUGAUUUAAAUUGGUAAGUAUUUCUUGUCUAGGCAUAGUAUUCCACUGAAUACAGUCUUCUUUUUUCCAAUGGAUGUCUAUUUUUGACUCAUCUUUUUUACAUCUGGUAUAGGUCUUGCAUCACCAUUGUGACAAGGCCCGCCGGCUAUGUGAGGCAUUCGGUGCAUAGGAUUUUCCCCCCGUGUCACUUUAUGAACGAAAAAAAAGAACCUUUCAUGUCUUGAAUGUUUGGAAUCUGCCUUGUGUAGCUGAUGUCAACUUUUUUAUUUCUGUUAUUUAGUUGCUGCCGUUAAACUUCUGUUGAGUUGCUUGUUGGUUCUUUUGAGGGUGAUUUUUUGCUCUCCUGCAGAUUUCAAAGUACAUGUUGAUUAAUGCUUAGAGUAUUUACAUGGAUUUUAAAGUACAUGUUGAUUAAUGCUUAGAGUAUGUUAUUUCCUGGAGGUUAUUUGCUUCCAAUUUAUUUUUACUAAUUCGUCU